ACAGCAGCAGCCGCGGUAAUACGAAGGGUGCAAGCGUUACUCGGAAUUACUGGGCGUAAAGCGUGUGUAGGUGGUUGUUUAAGUCUGUCGUGAAAGCCCUGGGCUCAACCUGGGAAUUGCGAUGGAUACUGGGCGACUAGAGUGCGGUAGAGGAUAGUGGAAUUUCCGGUGUAGCAGUGAAAUGCGUAGAGAUCGGAAGGAACAUCUGUGGCGAAGGCGACUAUCUGGGCCAACACUGACACUGAGACACGAAAGCGUGGGGAGCAAACAGGAUUAGAUACCCCCGUAGUCCCUGUCUCUUAUAC
rnacentral:rRNA from 1 species